rnacentral:rRNA from 1 species
UGUGUUAGUGGAAGCGUCUGGAAAGGCGCGCGAUACAGGGUGACAGCCCCGUACACAAAAGCGCAUGUGCUGUGAGCUCGAUGAGUAGGGCGGGACACGUGGUAUCCUGUCUGAAUAUGGGGGGACCAUCCUCCAAGGCUAAAUACUCCUGACUGACCGAUAGUGAACCAGUACCGUGAGGGAAAGGCGAAAAGAACCCCGGCGAGGGGAGUGAAAAAGAACCUGAAACCGUGUACGUACAAGCAGUGGGAGCACCCUUUGGGGUGUGACUGCGUACCUUUUGUAUAAUGGGUCAGCGACUUAUAUUCUGUAGCAAGGUUAACCGUAUAGGGGAGCCGGAGGGAAACCGAGUCUUAAUUGGGCGUUAAGUUGCAGGGUAUAGACCCGAAACCCGGUGAUCUAGCCAUGGGCAGGUUGAAGGUUGGGUAACACUAACUGGAGGACCGAACCGACUAAUGUUGAAAAAUUAGCGGAUGACCUGUGGCUGGGGGUGAAAGGCCAAUCAAACCGGGAGAUAGCUGGUUCUCCCCGAAAGCUAUUUAGGUAGCGCCUCGUGAAUUCAUCUCCGGGGGUAGAGCACUGUUUCGGCUAGGGGGCCAUCCCGGCUUACCAACCCGAUGCAAACUGCGAAUACCGGAGAAUGUUAUCACGGGAGACACACGGCGGGUGCUAACGUCCGUCGUGAAGAGGGAAACAACCCAGACCGCCAGCUAAGGUCCCAAAGUCAUGGUUAAGUGGGAAACGAUGUGGGAAGGCCCAGACAGCCAGGAUGUUGGCUUAGAAGCAGCCAUCAUUUAAAGAAAGCGUAAUAGCUCACUGGUCGAGUCGGCCUGCGCGGAAGAUGUAACGGGGCUAAACCAUGCACCGAAGCUGCGGCAGCGACACUGUGUGUUGUUGGGUAGGGGAGCGUUCUGUAAGCCUGUGAAGGUGUGUCGUGAGGCAUGCUGGAGGUAUCAGAAGUGCGAAUGCUGACAUAAGUAACGAUAAAGCGGGUGAAAAGCCCGCUCGCCGGAAGACCAAGGGUUCCUGUCCAACGUUAAUCGGGGCAGGGUGAGUCGACCCCUAAGGCGAGGCCGAAAGGCGUAGUCGAUGGGAAACGGGUUAAUAUUCCCGUACUUGGUGUUACUGCGAAGGGGGGACGGAGAAGGCUAUGUUGGCCGGGCGACGGUUGUCCCGGUUUAAGCGUGUAGGUGUGUGUUCCAGGUAAAUCCGGUUCACUUUAACACUGAGGCGUGACGACGAGGCACUACGGUGCUGAAGCAACAAAUGCCCUGCUUCCAGGAAAAGCCUCUAAGCAUCAGGUAACAUCAAAUCGUACCCCAAACCGACACAGGUGGUCAGGUAGAGAAUACCAAGGCGCUUGAGAGAACUCGGGUGAAGGAACUAGGCAAAAUGGUGCCGUAACUUCGGGAGAAGGCACGCUGACACGUAGGUGAAGUGAUUUACUCAUGGAGCUGAAGUCAGUCGAAGAUACCAGCUGGCUGCAACUGUUUAUUAAAAACACAGCACUGUGCAAACACGAAAGUGGACGUAUACGGUGUGACGCCUGCCCGGUGCCGGAAGGUUAAUUGAUGGGGUCAGCGCAAGCGAAGCUCCUGAUCGAAGCCCCGGUAAACGGCGGCCGUAACUAUAACGGUCCUAAGGUAGCGAAAUUCCUUGUCGGGUAAGUUCCGACCUGCACGAAUGGCGUAAUGAUGGCCAGGCUGUCUCCACCCGAGACUCAGUGAAAUUGAACUCGCUGUGAAGAUGCAGUGUACCCGCGGCAAGACGGAAAGACCCCGUGAACCUUUACUAUAGCUUGACACUGAACAUUGAGCCUUGAUGUGUAGGAUAGGUGGGAGGCUUUGAAGCGUGGACGCCAGUCUGCGUGGAGCCGACCUUGAAAUACCACCCUUUAAUGUUUGAUGUUCUAACGUGGACCCGUGAUCCGGGUUGCGGACAGUGUCUGGUGGGUAGUUUGACUGGGGCGGUCUCCUCCUAAAGAGUAACGGAGGAGCACGAAGGUUGGCUAAUCCUGGUCGGACAUCAGGAGGUUAGUGCAAUGGCAUAAGCCAGCUUGACUGCGAGCGUGACGGCGCGAGCAGGUGCGAAAGCAGGUCAUAGUGAUCCGGUGGUUCUGAAUGGAAGGGCCAUCGCUCAACGGAUAAAAGGUACUCCGGGGAUAACAGGCUGAUACCGCCCAAGAGUUCAUAUCGACGGCGGUGUUUGGCACCUCGAUGUCGGCUCAUCACAUCCUGGGGCUGAAGUAGGUCCCAAGGGUAUGGCUGUUCGCCAUUUAAAGUGGUACGCGAGCUGGGUUUAGAACGUCGUGAGACAGUUCGGUCCCUAUCUGCCGUGGGCGCUGGAGAACUGAGGGGGGCUGCUCCUAGUACGAGAGGACCGGAGUGGACGCAUCACUGGUGUUCGGGUUGUCAUGCCAAUGGCACUGCCCGGUAGCUAAAUGCGGAAGAGAUAAGUGCUGAAAGCAUCUAAGCACGAAACUUGCCCCGAGAUGAGUUCUCCCUGAGACUUUAGGUCUCCUGAAGGAACGUUGAAGACGACGACGUUGAUAGGCCGGGUGUGUAAGCGCAGCGAUGCGUUGAGCUAACCGGUACUAAUGAACCGUGAGGCUUAACCUUACAACGCCGAAG